UAACCCUUCUCUUUCAUGGGUCGUGUGAC
rnacentral:piRNA from 1 species